GACGAACGCUGGCGGCGUGCUUAACACAUGCAAGUCGAACGGAAAGGCCCUGCUUUUGUGGGGUGCUCGAGUGGCGAACGGGUGAGUAACACGUGAGUAACCUGCCCUUGACUUUGGGAUAACUUCAGGAAACUGGGGCUAAUACCGGAUAGGAGCUCCUGCUGCAUGGUGGGGGUUGGAAAGUUUCGGCUGUUGGGGAUGGACUCGCGGCUUAUCAGCUUGUUGGUGGGGUAGUGGCUUACCAAGGCGUUGACGGGUAGCCGGCCUGAGAGGGUGACCGGCCACAUUGGGACUGAGAUACGGCCAAGACUCCUACGGGAGGCAGCAGUGGGGAAUAUUGCACGAUGGGCGGAAGCCUGAUGCAGCAACGCCGCGUGCGGGAUGACGGCCUUCGGGGUGUAAACCGCGUUCGCCUGUGACGAAGCGUGAGUGACGGUAAUGGGUAAAGAAGCACCGGCUAACUACGUG
rnacentral:rRNA from 1 species